UACGAAGGUGGCAAGCGUUAUUCGGAUUUACUGGGCGUAAAGGGCGCGUAGGCGGCCAGCACAAGUCAGUUGUGAAAUCUCCGAGCUUAACUCGGAAAGGUCAACUGAUACUGUGCGGCUAGAGUGCGGAAGGGGCAACUGGAAUUCUUGGUGUAGCGGUGAAAUGCGUAGAUAUCAAGAGGAACACCUGCGGCGAAGGCGGGUUGCUGGGCCGACACUGACGCUGAUGCGCGAAAGCUAGGGGAGCGAACGGG
rnacentral:rRNA from 1 species